rnacentral:rRNA from 1 species
CUCAGUAACGUAGCUAACGCGUGAAGUUGACCGCCUGGGGGAGUACGGUCGCAAGAUUAAAACUCAAAGGAAUUGACGGGGACCCGCACAAGCGGUGGAUGAUGUGGAUUAAUUCGAUGCAACGCGAAAAACCUUACCUACCCUUGACAUGCCACUAACGAAGCAGAGAUGCAUUAGGUGCCCGAAAGGGAAAGUGGACACAGGUGCUGCAUGGCUGUCGUCAGCUCGUGUCGUGAGAUGUUGGGUUAAGUCCCGCAACGAGCGCAACCCUUGUCUCUAGUUGCUACGCAAGAGCACUCUAGAGAGACUGCCGGUGACAAACCGGAGGAAGGUGGGGAUGACGUCAAGUCCUCAUGGCCCUUAUGGGUAGGGCUUCACACGUCAUACAAUGGUGCGUACAGAGGGUUGCCAACCCGCGAGGGGGAGCUAAUCCCAGAAAACGCAUCGUAGUCCGGAUCGUAGUCUGCAACUCGACUACGUGAAGCUGGAAUCGCUAGUAAUCGCGGAUCAGCAUGCCGCGGUGAA